UCCAAGUCCUACAACAAAACUAGGUUCUGGAAGUUGCUCCUUUAAGAAGCGGAAGUGUUAGGGUCCCAAGACGCCGCCAGGACCUCCUGAAACCUUGACUGUCAUUCACAUACGACCGUGACGAUGGGGGCUUUGAGACAAUCCCGCAGCACCGACAGCAGCCGUGCCGCCUCUCGUGGGGAAACGGAGGCCACAGAGGGCAAGACACCGACAAGAGAAAGGGCAGAACUAGGUCCCGCCCGACGAGGAACAGCGGCAAGAACGCGGUGUAGGAUUCAGCAAAGGUGUGCAAACUCCGGGACGACGUGUCUGGUUUUAAAUGAACCAACGCAUUUAUUUACCCAACAGAAACAGACUCGCAGAUCCUGAAAUCAAACGUACGGUCACCGAAGGGGAGACGCUGGGCGUAGGGAAAAGCAGGAGUUUGGGGUUAGGAUAUACGCACUCCUGCCCACACCAGAGAAAACUCAGAAGGACCUGCUGGACAGCCCGGGAACUCUGCUCAAUCGUCUGUCGUAACUUAGACGGGAAAAGAAUCCGAAAAGGAGUGGCUGUGCGUGUGCGAACGACGGGUUCACUUUGCUGGGCACCCGAAUCUGACACAACACUGUAAAUCGACUAUACCCCCCAAAAAAUAAAAAUUAAGAGAGAAUGUUUCGGCCUCUACAUUUUCCUCCAAAUCAUCCAAACUUCUCUUUUGAAAUUGAAAACUCAGUUUCAACUUGCCGUUGGAAGCCACAAUGGAUUGCGAAGACAGACACUUGAGACACGCGAGAAUCAGAUUCCGAGAUGACUCUUAGAAACAUAAUCCAGUCCGGUUCGGUCACCCUUUACGCAGCCGUCACCAGGCUUCGCUGGGGCCCAGGGCAGGAUGGGGAGUCUGCAGCCUCACCUGUGAGGCUAACGUCCUUUCUUCAUUGGGCUAAAAGGUGCUUCUCCCAGACUCGCAGGUACCAGACCAGGCUGUGCCUCUGGGGUCGCGCAGAACCGAGGCCCAGUACACGGCCCUGUCUCCCCAGUGCCGGUUCCAUCAUGUAACCCGCUUGGAAACAUGACAUCUUUACUUCCACCUCUUUCAAGAUUCUUCGUCAUGCUGGUGGGUUUUCUUGAAACACGCUCCAGCUUGUCACAUGGUUUUCGGUUCGACACUUAGCUCGGUGCUCGGUGGGAAAGAGAAGGACCUUGCAUCUUGCUCGCCGUUAAAUCUCUAUCACCGGACGCGGUGCCUGGCACGCCGCGGGCAAGGAAGAGCCAGACCAGAGGCGUGUGCUCCCCGUUUAGCACUUAGAGCGGGAGGGGUCACGCCCUGGGAACGAGGGGUUUGCAGACGUCCUGCAGCAGCAGUGCCCGUCCUUGGCUCGGUAGCCCAGCUGCUCUGCAGGCAGGAUGGCAGUUACCUGUGGUUUGGUCGCUGUACGGUUCCGCCUCUUUCAACUGACACUUAAGUUUCCGGUGAUGAGACCGUGUCUGAAUGUUAAACGUACGCUGUCAUCACCUCCAACACCGGAGACUGGGUGCAUAUUCACCUGCUGAGCAUCGUCCUCCUGCCCCCUCACGAUGUCCCUCCCAGACCUGGAAAUGCAGGGACCCUGGGGCGUAAACGCCACUGAGGAGCUUACGAUGAAACCAACACCUUUGUGCUUCAGGAAGACGCGGGCCCUAGAGCAGAAAUAACCGAAGCCCCACGUUCCAGUCGCGGGAUGCGUGAUGCGGGAGGGAGAUGGAUGGACUGAGCCAGAUGGACAAGGGUUUUCAGCACCCAGCAUCCUUCCCUGAGCGGCCGGAGAGAACGGCGGGGGAUGCGGAUGAGGCACCCAGGCUUCAGUGUAAAGGUUCGACCACUUCCCGGAGCCUCGGUUCACCGUGUUGGGUAAGGACCGCAGUAACUCCUGAAGGACCCCCUCCGAAAGUAUCGAGACCCGUCAGGACGCAGGGCCGCCCCAGGGGCCGGGUGGCUCCCCCGCCCCACGGCUCCUCUGGAGGAGCUCAGGUGAAACCUGCCUCCCUCUGUGGAAACCCAAGCGGAAAUCUCCAGAGAGCAGAGGGCAGAAUCCACUAGAGAGCUUGGGUCCACCGUACUGACACCGAGGGGCCAGAAGCCUCGGGACAAUAUUUCCGAGAAAAUCCCCAAAAGAAUCGAACGUCUAGAUACGCCAAACCCAUGCAAACCUCACAAACAAACCCAUCAACAAAUGCUCCUUUUGGUAUUUUCCAAACUCUUGCCUUUCAACUCUUUCAAAAUGCUGUAGCCGGAGGGCAAACAAAACAAAGAAAAUGUGUUUCUAUUCAAGAAAUGUUAAACUAAAUAUGUAAUGAUUUCUUGGUCAAAGUUUUCCUUUCCCAAGAUAAAAAUAAUCCGAAGUCACAUCUGAUAACUAUUAGCGUUGCUUCCAGACUGUGAGGCAGAGGAUUCCUGCAGAUGCAUAUCGACUGCGCGUCCAGGGGCCCAGGAGCUGAGCAGCCACCGCCGUCCCCCAGGCCUGCGCUGCGUGCUGAGCGCAGGGGCGGGGGGUGGGGUACAGGCCAGCCCCUUGCUCUCAUCCUGUCCGGGCGCCCAUUUCCUGCGUGGGGGACUUGCUGCCUGCUCCUUUCAGCUCAACUUCUGCCUCUGGCCUCUGGCCUCUGGUGGGUCCCCCCCCACCCCAGUCACAUGCUGGGGACGGUGGCCGUGAGGCUCUGAGGUUUGCAUCUCUUUUGUACCCUUUGUCAGUGGUUCCAGAACCAUCUCCUGGCUCCCACUCCCCUGCCCCUUGCCCUACAGCACCCACAGGCGCACCCUUGCUGCUGAGGAGCCUGGGCCGUCCGUGCUCUUCCGCAAAGCCUGCGUUCACCAGACGCCAACUUCGCGGCAGAAUCCCGGAGCCUGACUGUGGACCAGGCACAGAAACCCCGGAUGUCGUCCUUCCCUCUGGGCGCCGGGCCGGGGCCUCAGGUGCAUGUGCACACUCGCUGGGAAGCUGCUGAAGGGCGGUUUCUCCGCUCAGAACUCGAGGAAACGCCCGGCCCUGUGGCGGCAGAAGCACCGGCCGCCCCGGCCCUCCCGCUGCCCGGCUGGGCCGCUGCUGUCCCCCGUCCCCGGGAAGGUCUGUCCCGAGGCGGAGCCGGUGUGGCGGGUUACUGCUUUCGUGAGAUGCUCCGAGACAGCCACGGCCAAAGGCAAAAUACAUGGGAAAGGCUGCGGACUCCGCCGCACCCGCGGCCUUUGGGAGAUAACGUGGCGAAAGAGCAUUUUUUAAAAAACCCCCUGGCAACUUUUUUUUCCGGCAUUUUUAACCCCGGUGCUUUCUGAGGCGAUAUCGAUUAACAACCAGCAGAGGCAGAGCCUCGGAAGACACGCGCUGGAAGGCGCUGCCGGCGACCAGGCGCGGCAGGUGGCGGAGGCGGGAAGGAGGAAGCGGUUCUGGGGGCGCGUCCCUCGCAGGGGUUGCAGCACGUGCCAGGUGGGGGGAACCCACGUGGGACAGGAAACCCCAGGUCCUGAAAAGGUGGCACCGCCUCCUGACAGAACCCGAGCAGCCGUCAAGGGUAACUGGUGCCGCGUGGGGCAGGUGGCUCCGUUUGACAAGAGCUAAGAUGGCUGAGAAGACCAAGAAAAUCCCAAAUCGAAAGAAACAGGACCACCGUCCACGAAGACAUUAGCUGCCUCUUCACACAGACAAGAGGUGAACUCUUUCGGGGCGGCCCCUCGGCCCCUCGGUCUAUCCCUCGAAGCUCCUUUCGCGUUCUCACCACCAUCCAGACAAACUCCCCGUCUGGACCCCGAGAACUCCCAGGCCGCGGUGUUUCCAGCAAGUGCAGGGUGGGGCGCGGGAUAGACGCCACGGUGUGUGUCUGCGGCGCACAAUUUGCUGUUCCAACCCGCCGACGUGUCCCUUGCAUCUGCCACCACAAAGUCAUGACCGUACCCACCCCUCCCGAAAUAUGCUGGCAUUCCGGCAAUUUCUCCUCCCCUACCCCCCUCUCCCGCUGCUGGUCCUGAGGAAACCGCGGGUCUGUUUCUGUGGCUGAAACAUCGUUUGCAUUUUGUGCGGAGUUGCGUCCUAGGGACUCUCGGUCGGACUUCUUCCACUGGUUUUCAGCAUGAUAAUUUGGAGAUUCAUCAGCGCGGCAGCACGCGUUCAUACCUGGUUUUACUUCCGGUGAGCGUGCCAUGGGGAGGUUAUCCGUUCCUCUGUCGGCGACACCGAGGCUGUUUCCAGUACUUGGCUUUUACAAAUAGGGUUGCUAUGAACAGGUGUAUGCAGGGCUUUGACCAGGUACACGUCUUCGUUUCACUGGGUUAAACGCCUAGGAUGAAAAACACAGCAGGUUUUGCAUGUAUUCGUCUUUAAGAAACUUGCAGGCUGUGUUCCAGAGGAACAGCUACUUGAGUGCCCACCAGCACACGGAAGAGUUCCAGUCGCUUCACCGCCUCACCCACACUGGGUGUGGUGGGUCUGUUGGGCGUGAGCACUGUCUAGGGUGGGGUGUGCGCUCCCCGUAGUUUUCGCCUGUGUUUGCCGUGACGACCAAUGCCACCGACACCCUAAUUUGAAAGACCUGUGCUGUCUUUGGGGAAGUGUCUGCUCAGCCACCUGGUCUACUUUCAGCUGGCUCUUUCUCUCCCGACUAAUGGGUGUUCAGUGGCCUGUCUGUUCUGAGUACGGUCCUGGUGAGAUGCAGGCUUUUGAGGUGUCUUCUGCCGCUCUUCCACCCCCUUGACGUUUUCCUUCAAAGGCUUCUCCCUCGGCUCAGUUCUGCGGCGGUGACGUCCAGGAGGCCGCAUGCAGACCCCAGGUCAGCCAGGUGCCACUCUCUCCCGGCUUUCUGAGGUUCGGAGCCUCCAGGGGGCCUUGCAGCUCUGUGCACGUGAGGGUGACAGCCUGGGUCCCCUCGCUCAGCAGAGGGGAAAACGCCGAAGUGCUGGGAGAGGAGAAGCAACGCUGAGUGACUGAGGGAGCCAGGGUUUGCAGCAAUGGGAACUGUCAGGAAUGUGCUCUCUUAAUGCAGAAGUGGAAUCGAUCCCGGGCCUGGCCCGCAGCAGGCAAAGAGGCCUCCUUCCUGGAGGGGCACGGGAGCGCGAGCGAGGCCAAGGCGGUGCAGGUGGGAGGGUGGGCUCACCGGGACAUCUGCACUCGGAGUCCCCGGAGCCCUCCGGGUGCUAGGGCGAGUUCAGGGGUCUCUCCCCGUCCCUCGCUGACCCCCAGGAGCCCUUCCAGAGCCGCAGGCUCCCAUCCAAGGGGAAGCGCUUCCUAGACGAAAACGACUCUCCCAUAGAGCGCGCGUUCCAAAGUGGUCAUUAGAGAGCAUGGAAAACUCCUCCUGGAAAGAGCUGGAAAGUUCUCAUGGAAACUAAGUUGGACUCGCACAUUGGAAAUCAGUCACCUGCGAUAUUUAAAAAUGAAGCUAAGCUGUCUGAGUGUACAUUUCAGAAAUGCAGCUGGAGCUGCCCAAUAAAAAUAUUUAAAACAUCGUCA